rnacentral:rRNA from 1 species
CGUGGAGACAGGUGGUGCAUGGCUGUCGUCAGCUCGUGUCGUGAAAUGUUGGGUUAAGUCCCGCAACGAGCGCAACCCUCACCUCUUGUUGCCAUCAGGUCAUGCUGGGCACUCUAGAGGAACUGCCCCGGUCAACGGGGAGGAAGGCGGGGAUGACGUCAAGUCAUCAUGCCCCUUACGUCCUGGGCUACACACGUGCUACAAUGGCCGGUACAAAGGGAUGCCACACCGCGAGGUAGAGCUAAACCCAAAAAGCCGGUCUAAGUUCAGAUUGGAGUCUGCAACUCGACUCCAUGAAGGAGGAAUCGCUAGUAAUCGCGUAUCAGCACGACACGGUGAAUACGUUCCCGGGCCUUGUACACACCGCCCGUCACACCACGAAAGCCUGCUGUACUCGAAGUCGCUGAG